GAGGGUAUAGCUCAGUGGUAGAGCACAUGUUUAGCAUGCACGAGGUCCUGGGUUCAAUCCCCAGUAUCUCCU
rnacentral:tRNA from 1 species